rnacentral:rRNA from 1 species
UACGUAGGGGGCAAGCGUUGUCCGGAAUCAUUGGGCGUAAAGCGCGUGUAGGCGGUUCAGUAAGUCGGCUGUGAAAGUCCAGGGCUCAACCCUGGGAUGCCGGUCGAUACUGCCGGACUAGAGUUCGGAAGAGGCGAGUGGAAUUCCUGGUGUAGCGGUGAAAUGCGCAGAUAUCAGGAAGAACACCCGUGGCGAAGGCGGCUCUCUGGGACGGUACUGACGCUGAGACGCGAAAGCGUGGGGAGCGAACAGG